UGGUGGAGUGAUUUGUCUGGUUUAUUCUGUUAACGAACAAGACCCCCACCUGCUAAAUAAUUCUGUUAAUGGUUUUCAUUGGCAUUGAAUUUCUUAGAGGGAUUUUCAGUGUUUAACUGAAGGAAUUUGGAGGCAAUAACA
rnacentral:rRNA from 1 species